UGACUGCAGAGCAACAUGUCUGGGAGGAUUGUCAGGGUGAUGAAAGGUCAAAUGGGUCAGUAGGCAGAAUAUGCAGCUGUCUAAAUCUCCUGCCACACCCUGACAAGAUAUCAUUUUGGGAGAUCAGCAAGUGUUUGCCAACACAGAAGCUCAGGGGCAGAUAGUCGGAGGAACAUGGUAAACAGGAGAAAACAGAGGAACAUGUUUGGCAACUACUACAGCUUCUUUAAAAACAUAA